UUUUUUUUUUUUUUUGAGUUGUUUGUCUUUAUUGUUGAAUUAUAAGAGUUCUUUAUAUAUUCUAGUCAAUAGACAUUCAUGCUUUAAAAAUUCUUACUUAUUUAAUUAUUCAUUUACUUUGUGUGUGUGUUUGAUCAUGGGUAUAUAUAUAUAUAUGCCACAUUGUGUGUGCAGAAGUCACAGGAGAGUAUUGGAUUCCCUGGACCUGGAGUUACAGCUGGUUAUGAGCUGCCAUAUGGGUGGUAGGAGCUGAAUCUGGUUCCUUUAUGAGAACAGCAAGUGCUCUUAACUUCUGAGCCAUCUCUCUAGCCCAACAUUAAUGAAUUUUUAAAAAAUUAUUUUAUUUUAAUUGUGUGUGUGUACAUGAGUGCAAUUGCUGGUGGAGUCUAGGAGUCAGGUACAUAUCUUAGAGCUGGAGGGGCAGUUAUAACACAGCUGAUGAGGGUACUGAGAGACAAACUCAGGUCUUCUGGAAAAGCAGCAAGUGCUAUUAACUGUUGAGCAAUCUCUCUAGCCCCAACAUUCAUGUUUUUUUGUUUUGUUUUGUUUUUUUAAACAUAAUUUUGGAACAAUUCUUUCUCCACUCAGCCACUGCUCAUCAGCCAAGUAUAGUGGCAUAUUGCUGUAAUCUUAUGCUAGGUAUAGAUUAGAAGAUCAAAGGUUUAAGGCCAGCCUUAGCUACAUGAAAUUCUGUCUCAGAACAAUAAAACAAGACAUAAAUCACUCACUAAUCUAAAUAUUCUUAGUCCUUUCAUGUCUUUUAAUCUGUCUUUCCCUUUUUCUAUGAUGGUGAGAUUAUAAUUCUUCCAGACCCAGAUCAAAUGUAACCCUCUCUUGGAAACUGUCUUAAUUACUUUCUGUUCCUUGUAAUUGGUAAUGUAUGUUCUUCUAUAAACAUUUUUAUAAGGGAGCACCUUUUUAUUGUCUUCCUUAAAUUUCUAGAUUAUGUUUCUAAUGUCACGUAUUACAUUGGAUCUGUCUCUGUUCUUAGCAUCUAGCUCAUGACCUAUCAUAUAUUUGAUACUAGUAAAUGCUUAAUGAAACUCAAACAUAGACUAGAAUUUUGAGUAUGGACGAAAGGUUCACUUGGGAGUAAUUAUGUAAAGGAAUCAGUGGGGGGCUGUACUGAAUUCAUACAUGCAGUAAAUAUUUGAGGCCUACUGCAAACCAAGAACUCUGCUAGUUGUUUAGUAUGCAACAGAGAUAAUAUUCCCUAUUUUCCUGUAGGGUAGAAAAUAAAUAGUGAUGCAAUAUAAUGUCAGAUAAUUAUAAGCCCUAGGAAACAGGGUAAAGUUAGAGAGUAAUGGAAAGGGCUAGGAAUAUGGCUCGUUGGUAGAGUGCUUGUUUAGCAUGUACAAAACACUGAGUUAAUAAAACUGGGCUUGUUAGCACAUGCCUGUAAUCUCAGUACUUGGGAGGCAGAGGUAGAAAGAUCAGAAGUUCAAGUUUAGUACUUGAUAGCAAGUUCUGGACCAGUCUCAAAAUAAACAAACAAAAAACUAAUCAACCAACCAGCCAACCAAACUACCAAGCAACAGCAAUAGCCACCCCACCCCCCCCUU
rnacentral:lncRNA from 1 species